CAGGAUAGCUCAGUUGGUAGAGCAGAGGACUGAAAAUC
rnacentral:tRNA from 1 species